AUUGAACGCUGGCGGCAGGCCUAACACAUGCAAGUCGAACGAGUGGCGGACGGGUGAGUAAUGUCUGGGAAACUGCCUGAUGGAGGGGGAUAACUACUGGAAACGGUAGCUAAUACCGCAUACCAUCGGAUGUGCCCAGAUGGGAUUAGUUAGUAGGUGGGGUAACGGCUCACCUAGGCGACGAUCCCUAGCUGGUCUGAGAGGAUGACCAGCGAAACGGGAGCUGAGAAACGGUCCAAGAUCCUUCGGGAGGGAGCAGGGGGGAAUAUUGAACAAUGGGCGAAAGCCAGCUGCAGCCAAGCCGCGUGGAGGAAGAAGGCCUUCGGGUUUUAAAGUACUUUCAGCGGUGAGGCGUUACCCGCAGAAGAAGCACCGGCUAACUCCGUGCCAGCCGCCGCGGUAAUAC
rnacentral:rRNA from 1 species